UACGUAGGGUGCGAGCGUUAAUCGGAAUUACUGGGCGUAAAGCGUGCGCAGGCGGUUCGCUGUGUCCUGUGUGAAAGCCCCGGGCUUAACCUGGGAAUAGCAUGGGAAACUGGCGAGCUUGAGUGCGGCAGAGGGGGGUGGAAUUCCGCGUGUAGCAGUGAAAUGCGUAGAGAUGACGGAGGAACACCGAUGGCGAAGGCAAUCCCCUGGGCCACUACUGACGCUGAGAAGCGAAAGCAUGGGGAGCGAACAGG
rnacentral:rRNA from 1 species